GAAGAGGUGGGCAACAGAGCUACACUGUGUGACACAUACAGUGCGCCGGUGUAGGGCUGAGGGCCGCAGCCAUGAAGAGAGGCAGCAGCUGGGAGUGUGGGAACAAAGCUGAGGAGCCUCGACCAGAAUUCCUGAAAGGGUAGGAUCUGGGAUGUUUGCAGGGAUGAGGUUGGAUUCUCACAAGAGCUGCUCUGGCCCAUGGACUCAGUCUGUAGGGUUUAUCAAGCUGUGUAUUUUCUGGCUGCCCAAAAACUUGCUUCUCCCACCUCCAGGAAUGGCAGCCAGUCCCCAUGUCCACCUACCAGAACUCACUGGGUUCCUCCACGGUCUGUUUCUAGGAAGAGGUCCCGGGAACUCCUCUACCCUGCAUGGCGAUGGGCUCUUGGUUUGUAAUUACAUGAUUUUUCUCGAACCUUGGUUUCCUUAAGACUUCUUUAUUCUGCACAUCUGCUCUCCCCAAGCCAAUUACACUAGGUGUCAUAAAGAGCAAACCAACAGGUAAAAGAGACCAGCCCUCAACUCAGAUCAAAGCAAAUAGCUGUGGAGUCCAUUGGAAAUCUUGGCU
rnacentral:lncRNA from 1 species